UACGUAGGGGGCGAGCGUUGUCCGGAUUCAUUGGGCGUAAAGAGCUCGUAGGCGGUUUGGUAAGUCGGGUGUGAAAACCCCAGGCUCAACCUGGGGACGCCACCUGAUACUGCUAUGACUUGAGUCUGGUAGGGGAUCACGGAAUUCCUGGUGUAGCGGUGAAAUGCGUAGAGAUGUGGAGGAACACCAGUGGCGAAGGCGGCUCUCUGGACUGUAACUGACGCUGAGGCGCGAAAGCGUGGGGAGCAAACAGG
rnacentral:rRNA from 1 species